AAACCUCGAUAACCUAUCGUCCCCUCCCAGCCCCUCCUCCUCCGUGGUCCCGUUCUCCUAUCGCGCGGAUCUCGCAUCCCCUCGCCAUCUUUUAUCUCCUCCUUUGCCUAAUUCCAACCAGCAAUUAUCGCGAUAACGGAGAGACUCUGGAUUUGUUUUAUUAUUUUUUUUUCUUAUUUAUUUAUCCCAAUCGUUCUAUCUUUCGUUCGCGUUAUCUCGAUUCGUGAAACUCCUACAGCUUACCUGGCCACUCCCCCUUCUCCCCCUUCCUCCUUCCUCGUCAAAUCCGACUUCGUUUCGUCGUCGAAUUGAUCUCGUGAUAAAAAUACGCGCGAUAAAUAUGUAAAAAAAAAAAAAAAAAGUACGAAAAACAAACCCGUUUCAAAAUUUAUUAUAUUAUUUCUUUCUUGGGAAACGUAAGCGUCUAUCGUUUCAAACGAAUCAACGCGAGGAAAGGAAGAAUUAAUUCUCGAACGAAAUAUCUAACGUAUAAUUCUCGAUUGUUAUCGGUUUUCGUUACCGAUGUUGUUUACCGAUGAUAAAUGGAGAGUCGCUCAAAAUAUCAGAACGUGCUCGCUCGUCCGUGGUUCGAUCCGUGGACGCGGUAAGGUCACGUUCAUUGUACUUGCGGAACACGAUAAUUUAAAAAGCUGGUGUUCCGUCCGUUACCGUUUCGUUUCACCGAAGUUCAUUGCUAAGGCCAUAUCUUUUAAUUCGACGAUUUUGCGAUUCGCCGAGGAAGCUGCGGAACGCAACGCUCCUCAUUGGCAUCGUUGUACUCGAUGCAAUGAAUCAUCAAGCAUUGACGGUGUGGGGUCGCUCGCGCGCGCGCGUGCGUGCUCACAGAUCGAAGCGACUGGCCAGCAGACACGAGAUCGAACGUUUAUUCGAAUCGCUUGGGAAGAUUCCACUUGCCCUCGUGCACUCGUGCUCGCCUCGAACAAUGCCGAUUAAUUUGGUCGAGAGUCACGCGUCGCCGUGCGAUGUCAGUUCGGUUAGGCCCGCCGGUCGUCGUCGAUCAACGUGACGACCGAUGUGAGACACGAGCGACGCGCGUCAUCGUUAUUACGCGCGUCUCGUAUUACGCAACGAAACGUAUAGGCGGGAAAACGAUCCGAGAACGGGACACGGAAGGACGCGAGGCAAGGCAAGGCAAGGCGAGGUGAAGCAAGGCGAGGUAGGCGAGUGAUUGCUCGUGGACGAGGAGAGGCCGAUUGGCGUAGUCUACGAGGUGGUCUCAGCUGUGAGAACAGGGAUGCAUCUUCCCUGAAACAAAAGAAAAUUCGAGGCACGGAUUAAUAUACGUCCCAAUAGUACCGCGAGUUCGAUGAUGAAUCGUGGUCGGAAAUCGAAAGGCGGCUGAAUCGUGGUAUCCACCGUUGAAAGCGGUGAAGAGAUUGAACGGAAUGUCGCGUGAUCUAUUCGACGAGGCUUUGAACGAACGAGAGUUUUUGACGAAACAUCUGUCGAAUAAAUAAAAAAAAGAAAAAGAAAAAAAAAACAAGACGAGUUUCUAUCUUCGUUUCGGUUGAUAUUUUAAGAUCAAGUAUCACGAGUGGAUUUGAUGGAGGUGACAAAUUGCACAUGUCUCGUUAUCCAUAGCAAAGAGAGUAUCGUGAUAUGCAUGAUACCUUCACGACGAAAAACCAUGCGUUGGGAUUGGUCGAAGAAAGAACGAGGAAGGGAAGGCAAAGGGAGUGUAAAGCCAAUUGCGCAUGGAAAUAGGUCGGAGCGGAGGGCUCGCGGUAUCGAGAGGGCACAUGGUGACGAUGACGACAAUAAUGACAACCAGAAAGGAGCAAAAAUUUUGUAAUGCAUUUCUUCUGAUUCUCGUUCGACCGAAUUAUCAAACAGAAAGAUACCAUGUAUACAUGCUAUAUAACAAAAUGGAAGAUUAAGAUAUAUAGACAAUGAGCAACAUACAAUUAUCUAUCAUUACGACUGUGUACAAAAUAUAAUGAAGAAUUAAUUCUUAUUCGCGUAAUAAAACUGUUAUUAUUAUUAUUAGAUAAUUCAAUAAUGCACGUUUUACUUAAAACAUUGCAAUAUAACUGCUGUAUAUUUGUAAUUUGCGAAAUAUGAAAACGCACGUUUCGAAUAAUCGGCAAUAUCUAUCUCUUAUUUUCUUUCACGAUUCGAACUAAGUAUUUAUCAAUGAACGUGACCCAAUUGGUCAACGUCCACGUCAAUCCAUUGACCUUGACAAUUUUACCGAAUAUUUAAAAUAAUCUAUAUCGAUUACGGAACAUACGCAAAAGAUUAUCGAAUCUUAAAAGAUUAUUUUUCUCAAUUUUAAAAUCGUGCAUUUAUUUGUAUGUCCUGAAAUAUUAAAAAUAAUUUUAGUAAAUAUGUAAAAAUCAAAAUUAUUUUUUAAAAUUAAAAAAAAAAAUCGUUCGACUUUAAUUCUAAUUCAAAUCUAAUAAUCGAUUUCUAUAUUGAUCAUGUCUUAUGAUUAUCGUCAUAUUUAUA